CAUAGUGUAUCCUGAACAUUCCAAAGUACAGAUGCUAUAAUUUGCUAUUACUGAACUCCAAGGUUUUUUAUAUAAACAGUUUGUUUUCAUCCACAGACAUGGAAGCUAUUUACUGCUGUAUCUCAGCACUGGAAAUGUGCUAGACACAGAAGGCACUCAACAUUUGUUGAAUGAAGGAAUAAGCUCUUAUCCACACUGGGACAAAAUGGUCUUCUGAAACAAAUCCCAACAGCUCAAUGAAAAUUUCAAGUGCUGUCUUCUUUCCUUGUUAAGGACUUGCUCAUAAAGUGGGUGACUUCUAUCCCUGGGGAGGAAUGCUGGGAGGCAGCUGGUGGCUAAGGGUCCUUCUUCCUCAAGGGGACACUCCUGGAUCAGUCAAGAUCUCCUGUGGGACCCAGAAUACAACACAACAUCUGCAGUCGAGAAGAGCUGAAUUCCUCUUUGUUGAACCCACAGACAGGUGUUAAAAACCUGACUUGCUAGUGCCCUUCCCAGUUGCCUUUCAGAAACAUCAGCAAAAGUGUCAAUAAAUGUGGGAUAGGACAGCAGGUUCAGAAAGACCUGCUCAAAGGCAAAUCAAAAUACUCUUGUAGGAAGGCUAAAUGCAUCCCUUGAAAAGUUUAGAAAGAAUAGAGACACACGACAUGUGGAGACUUACAUUCCCAGUUACUAAAGUAAAGAGAUAACCAUUUCCGUUUUCCCCUUUUGUUUACCACUCUCUACCUUGAAUGCCUCACCUUCUGGUUGGUUCCCUCUCAGAAAGAGCUCAUGUCCUCACCUUGACCCACCCUCUCCUUCUCUUCAGGGUUCAGCCUCCAGGCUUCCUCCAACACCCCAUGCCUGCUCCUGUAGAUGUCCCCUUAGUCCAAGCCGUGGCCCACAGGCUGCAUGCUGACCAGGACAGCUUCAAAUGAGGCCCGACACAAAGUCAUCAACUAUCUUAAAACAUUAAGAGAUUUUUUUUUGCAACCUUUUUUUUUUUUU